CACGCCCUAAACGAUGUCAACUGGUUGUUGGGGAUUCACUUCCUCAGUAACGAAGCUAACGCGUGAAGUUGACCGCCUGGGGAGUACGGCCGCAAGGUUAAAACUCAAAGGAAUUGACGGGGACCCGCACAAGCGGUGGAUGAUGUGGUUUAAUUCGAUGCAACGCGAAAAACCUUACCCACCUUUGACAUGUACGGAAGUUGCCAGAGAUGGCUUCGUGCUCGAAAGAGAACCGUAACACAGGUGC
rnacentral:rRNA from 1 species